UACAGAGGUCCCAAGCGUUGUUCGGAUUCACUGGGCGUAAAGGGUGCGUAGGCGGUCGGGUAAGUCUGAUGUGAAAUCUCACAGCUUAACUGUGAAACUGCAUUGGAUACUAUCCGGCUCGAGGAAUGGAGGGGAGACUGGAAUACUUGGUGUAGCAGUGAAAUGCGUAGAUAUCAAGUGGAACACCAGUGGCGAAGGCGAGUCUCUGGACAUUUCCUGACGCUGAGGCCCGAAAGCCAGGGGAGCAAACGGG
rnacentral:rRNA from 1 species